UAAUACGUAGGGGGCAAGCGUUGUCCGGAUUUAUUGGGCGUAAAGCGCGUGUAGGCGGCCAGAUAAGUCCGCUGUGAAAACUCGAAGCUCAACUUCGAGCUGUCGGUGGAAACUAUUUGGCUAGAGUCCGGAAGAGGAGAGUGGAAUUCCUGGUGUAGCGGUGAAAUGCGCAGAUAUCAGGAAGAACACCCGUGGCGAAGGCGGCUCUCUGGUACGGAACUGACGCUGAGACGCGAAAGCGUGGGGAGCGAACAGGAUUAGAUACCCUGGUAGUCCACGCCGUAAACGAUGGGUGCUAGGUGUGGGGGGUGUCAACUCCCUCCGUGCCGAAGCUAACGCAUUAAGCACCCCGCCUGGGGAGUACGGCCGCAAGGCUA
rnacentral:rRNA from 1 species